rnacentral:rRNA from 1 species
CAUUAUCGAAACGGUGGAGCGAGACUGUCGCUGGCUGCUGGCAUGUGCACGUCUUACUGCUCCAUCUUGUCUUACACACCUGUGCACCUGUCGUAGUUCCUCGUCAAAGGGGACCUAUGUUCUAUCUUAUCGCUCUGUCGUAUGUCCAUAGAAUGAUAUAUAAUGAAUACAACUUUCAGCAACGGAUCUCUUGGCUCUCGCAUCGAUGAAGAACGCAGCGAAUUGCGAUAAGUAAUGUGAAUUGCAGAUUUUCAGUGAAUCAUCGAAUCUUUGAACGCACCUUGCGCUCCUUGGUAUUCCGAGGAGCAUGCCUGUUUGAGUGUCAUCGAAUUCUCAACCAUGUCUUGUGAGAUUCAUGGCUUGGAAUUGGGAGGUUGCUGGCGUCGUUCAGCUCUUCUGAAAUGCAUUAGCAAAGUCUCUGUGCAUGCGCAUGGCCCUGACGUGAUAAUGAUCGUCGUGGCCUGGGAGUGUAUGGAUGUUCGCUUCAAAUCCAAACCCACGGAAGCUUUCAAGCUAGUUACUAGUCGGUCUAUGGGCCGGCGAACGCAGCGAUGAAGGCUUGCAUGAAUGGACGAUGACUUGACCUCAAAUCAGGUAGGACUACCCGCUGAACUUAAGCAUAUCAAUAAGCGGAGGAAAAGAAACUAACGAGGAUUCCCCUAGUAACUGCGAGUGAAGCGGGAAAAGCUCAAAUUUCGAAUCUGACGGUCUUCGAUCGUCCGAGUUGUAAUCUAGAGAAGCGUUUUCUGCGCUGGUCCGUGUACAAGUCUCCUGGAAGGGAGCGUCAUAGAGGGUGAGAAUCCCGUCUUUGACAUGGGCUACCAGUGCUGUGUGAUGCGCUCUCGACGAGU